UGACGAGACUUGGGAUGAGCUGCUGGGAAGGGUGACCAGUGCCCAUGUCCUCACCUCACAAAAAAAAAAAUGCAGAAUCAGGGGGACUGAACAAGAAAUAGAGAUUUAGGUAUCAGGAGGAGUGGGAUGGGGAGAAGAGGAGGGAUAAAAGAAGUUCAGGCUCCAAUCUAUUAUUUCAGAAAUGUCAACAGACAGGAUAUUCAAAAGUCCACUGAAUUUGAGAAAUAAAGAGACAAGGCUACACACGUGUACAGACAUGGGCAUAAUCACCAGAAGAAGAAAAUAUAAAUACAACACAAAUGGUCACUUCUGAGAAGUAAGGCCGAGAACAGGAAGAGGUGGAACACAGAUCUGAGACAAGGGUGCAGGUCGUGCUGACACAUCAGCCCAGUAUGAUCCUUGAGUGGAUAAUUGAGGUUCAUGUAUGCCAAGUCAAAGCUACAAUCUGCUACCCCAAUUCCCAUGAACCAUUCCAGCACUUCUGAGAAGGACACAAAUCUGUUCCAAGAUGGACGUUCACCCCAUUUCUCAGCUGGUGUAUGGGUGCGGUCACUGGAGAGGGGAAGAGAUGCAUCACCUCCAGGCUGAGGGAGAGGCCAAGAUGACUGCUCAAGGCCCAUACCUCAAGAACAACCAAGUGAAGAUGGGCACCUGGUCUCUGAGACACCACCCCCCCAAGGAGCACCAUUCUACAUCCGUCAUGGUUUUGAAGGAGGUCACUGAGAGGACAUGACCACUGGCUGACCCACAAGCUGGAUCUGGGCAGUGGAAGGUCCUUGUCCCCUCUUCCCCUGUCCUUGGAAUGUACACUCUGCCCGUGUCCCCACAGUGGGGACCAUUUUCAAGGACACAGUCUUGAGAGAGCAAUGUGUUGUUGAGACUAUCUGCAUGGUAUACAUGAUGGAACCCCAUCAAGGACCCUAUAUAAACUUAAGAGUCUGGUGGAGAUCCAUGUGUCUUGCAGCACCCAAGACAAACCUCAUACAUAAGUUCUCUUAUUAAACCUGCCACCUACCUA